UUAAGCGACUAAGCGUACACGGUGGAUGCCCUGGCAGUCAGAGGCGAUGAAGGACGUGCUAAUCUGCGAAAAGCGCCGGCGAGGUGAUAUGAACCCUUGACCCGGCGAUGUCCGAAUGGGGAAACCCAGUGCAAUCCGUUGCACUAUCGUUAACUGAAUACAUAGGUUAACGAGGCGAACCGGGGGAACUGAAACAUCUAAGUACCCCGAGGAAAAGAAAUCAACCGAGAUUCCCCCAGUAGCGGCGAGCGAACGGGGAGCAGCCCGGAGUCUGAAUCAGCUUGUGUGUUAGUGGAACGGUCUGGAAAGUCCGACGGUACAGGGUGAUAGUCCCGUACACGAAAGCACACAUGCUGUGAACUCGAAGAGUAGGGCGGGACACGUGGUAUCCUGUCUGAAUAUGGGGGGACCAUCCUCCAAGGCUAAAUACUCCUGACUGACCGAUAGUGAACCAGUACCGUGAGGGAAAGGCGAAAAGAACCCCGGCGAGGGGAGUGAAAAAGAACCUGAAACCGUGUACGUACAAGCAGUGGGAGCCUCUUUAUGGGGUGACUGCGUACCUUUUGUAUAAUGGGUCAGCGACUUAUAUUCUGUAGCAAGGUUAACCGUAUAGGGGAGCCGAAGGGAAACCGAGUCUUAACUGGGCGUUAAGUUGCAGGGUAUAGACCCGAAACCCGGUGAUCUAGCCAUGGGCAGGUUGAAGGUUGGGUAACACUAACUGGAGGACCGAACCGACUAAUGUUGAAAAAUUAGCGGAUGACCUGUGGCUGGGGGUGAAAGGCCAAUCAAACCGGGAGAUAGCUGGUUCUCCCCGAAAGCUAUUUAGGUAGCGCCUCGUGAACUCAUCUUCGGGGGUAGAGCACUGUUUCGGCUAGGGGGCCAUCCCGGCUUACCAACCCGAUGCAAACUACGAAUACCGAAGAAUGUUAUCACGGGAGACACACGGCGGGUGCUAACGUCCGUCGUGAAGAGGGAAACAACCCAGACCGCCAGCUAAGGUCCCAAAGUCAUGGUUAAGUGGGAAACGAUGUGGGAAGGCACAGACAGCCAGGAUGUUGGCUUAGAAGCAGCCAUCAUUUAAAGAAAGCGUAAUAGCUCACUGGUCGAGUCGGCCUGCGCGGAAGAUGUAACGGGGCUAAACCAUGCACCGAAGCUGCGGCAGCGACGCUUAUGCGUUGUUGGGUAGGGGAGCGUUCUGUAAGCCGUUGAAGGUGUGCUGUGAGGCAUGCUGGAGGUAUCAGAAGUGCGAAUGCUGACAUAAGUAACGAUAAAGCGGGUGAAAAGCCCGCUCGCCGGAAGACCAAGGGUUCCUGUCCAACGUUAAUCGGGGCAGGGUGAGUCGACCCCUAAGGCGAGGCCGAAAGGCGUAGUCGAUGGGAAACAGGUUAAUAUUCCUGUACUUGGUGUUACUGCGAAGGGGGGACGGAGAAGGCUAUGUCAGCCGGGCGACGGUUGUCCCGGUUUAAGCAUGUAGGCGGAGGUUCCAGGUAAAUCCGGUACCUUAUUAACGCUGAGGUGUGAUGACGAGGCACUACGGUGCUGAAGUGAUAAAUGCCCUGCUUCCAGGAAAAGCCUCUAAGCAUCAGGUAACACGAAAUCGUACCCCAAACCGACACAGGUGGUCAGGUAGAGAAUACCAAGGCGCUUGAGAGAACUCGGGUGAAGGAACUAGGCAAAAUGGUGCCGUAACUUCGGGAGAAGGCACGCUGAUGUGUAGGUGAAGUCCCUGCGGACGGAGCUGAAAUCAGUCGAAGAUACCAGCUGGCUGCAACUGUUUAUUAAAAACACAGCACUGUGCAAACACGAAAGUGGACGUAUACGGUGUGACGCCUGCCCGGUGCCGGAAGGUUAAUUGAUGGGGUUAGCGGCAACGCGAAGCUCUUGAUCGAAGCCCCGGUAAACGGCGGCCGUAACUAUAACGGUCCUAAGGUAGCGAAAUUCCUUGUCGGGUAAGUUCCGACCUGCACGAAUGGCGUAAUGAUGGCCAGGCUGUCUCCACCCGAGACUCAGUGAAAUUGAACUCGCUGUGAAGAUGCAGUGUACCCGCGGCAAGACGGAAAGACCCCGUGAACCUUUACUAUAGCUUGACACUGAACACUGGUCCUUGAUGUGUAGGAUAGGUGGGAGGCUUUGAAGCGUGGACGCCAGUCUGCGUGGAGCCAACCUUGAAAUACCACCCUUUAAUGGCUGGUGUUCUAACGUGGACCCGUAAUCCGGGUUGCGGACAGUGUCUGGUGGGUAGUUUGACUGGGGCGGUCUCCUCCCAAAGAGUAACGGAGGAGCACGAAGGUUGGCUAAUCCUGGUCGGACAUCAGGAGGUUAGUGCAAUGGCAUAAGCCAGCUUGACUGCGAGCGUGACGGCGCGAGCAGGUGCGAAAGCAGGUCAUAGUGAUCCGGUGGUUCUGAAUGGAAGGGCCAUCGCUCAACGGAUAAAAGGUACUCCGGGGAUAACAGGCUGAUACCGCCCAAGAGUUCAUAUCGACGGCGGUGUUUGGCACCUCGAUGUCGGCUCAUCACAUCCUGGGGCUGAAGUAGGUCCCAAGGGUAUGGCUGUUCGCCAUUUAAAGUGGUACGCGAGCUGGGUUUAGAACGUCGUGAGACAGUUCGGUCCCUAUCUGCCGUGGGCGCUGGAGAAUUGAGGGGGGCUGCUCCUAGUACGAGAGGACCGGAGUGGACGCAUCACUGGUGUUCGGGUUGUCAUGCCAAUGGCACUGCCCGGUAGCUAAAUGCGGAAGAGAUAAGUGCUGAAAGCAUCUAAGCACGAAACUUGCCCCGAGAUGAGUUCUCCCUGAGACUUUAAGUCUCCUGAAGGAACGUUGAAGACGACGACGUUGAUAGGUCGGGUGUGUAAGCGCAGCGAUGCGUUGAGCUAACCGAUACUAAUGAACCGUGAGGCUUAACCU
rnacentral:rRNA from 1 species